GCCUGGGUGGCUCAGUCAGUUGAGCGUCUGACUUCAGCUCAGGUCACGAUCUCAUGGUUCGUGAGUUCGAGCCCCACGUCAGGCU
rnacentral:tRNA from 1 species